rnacentral:hammerhead_ribozyme from 1 species
GCACAGCUGAGGAGUCCCAUAAUAUGACGAAACGGCAGUCCAGUAC